GGAAGUAAAAGUCGUUACAAGGUUUCCGUAGGUGAACCUGCGGAAGGAUCAUUAUUGUAUAACCGAGGUGCGAGGGCUGUCGCUGACCCGAAAGGGUCGUGCACGCCCGAGUGCCCUCACACACAUCCAUCUCACCCCUAUGUGCACCACCGCGUGGGUCCCCCUUUGGCUUGUUCGGAGGGGGGCUUACGUUUUCACACAAACUUUGUAUGCAGUGUAGAAUGUAUUUUUUGUUUUUGCGAUCACGCAAUCAAUACAACUUUCAACAACGGAUCUCUUGGCUCUC
rnacentral:misc_RNA from 1 species